rnacentral:rRNA from 1 species
GACGAACGCUGGCGGCGUGCCUAAUACAUGCAAGUCGAACGCUGAAGGAGGAGCUUGCUUCUCCGGAUGAGUUGCGAACGGGUGAGUAACGCGUAGGUAACCUGCCUGGUAGCGGGGGAUAACUAUUGGAAACGAUAGCUAAUACCGCAUAAGAGUAGAUGUCGCAUGACAUUUGCUUAAAAGGUGCAACUGCACCACUACCAGAUGGACCUGCGUUGUAUUAGCUAGUUGGUGAGGUAACGGCUCACCAAGGCAACGAUACAUAGCCGACCUGAGAGGGUGAUCGGCCACACUGGGACUGAGACACGGCCCAGACUCCUACGGGAGGCAGCAGUAGGGAAUCUUCGGCAAUGGACGGAAGUCUGACCGAGUAACGCCGCGUGAGUGAAGAAGGUUUUCGGAUCGUAAAGCUCUGUUGUAAGAGAAGAACGAGUGUGAGAGUGGAAAGUUCACACUGUGACGGUAGCUUACCAGAAAGGGACGGCUAACUACGUG